rnacentral:hammerhead_ribozyme from 1 species
AUCCAGCUGAAGAGUCACAAACAGUACGAAACGCGCGUCCUGAAC